rnacentral:lncRNA from 1 species
CAGAACUGCAAGACAACAAUGACAGGCCACUGUUUGCAGCCACCAGCCUGGUGGGACUUCUGUGCUGGCCCUGGGGUGUAAUCCACCUAUCUGACACAUACCCUGUCUCUCUGCUCUCUAGAAGCACAGAUGCGGGGUAUGAUGACGACGCCCUGAUCCUCUGAGCCGGGAAGUCCGGCACUGUGGUGCAUGCCUGAGAUCUGAAGAGGCUGAGGACUGUGCCUCAAAAACAGCAUCAACCAAGAACAUAGCACAGGCGCGCAAGUGCCCGCCUGGUGAAAUCAGAUGGCCACGGUCCUGGACCAAGAGCUGGAGGACCUGCCAGUGGGUGAGUAGAACCCAGGGCGUGUUCGUGGCUCCAGCUCUGAGACCAUUCCCACCUGCCAUUGGCUUGAGAAGUGGGGUAAUCAUGAAUUCUGGCUUGCUGGGAUUAGAAGUCAAGGACUAAAAGCCCUGGCUUGCUUCCCCACCCCACCUCACCCCCUAUUUUUCCUCUCCACCUCCUCCAGUCCUUCUGGGGUCUCAGGCC